AAUUUUGGACAAUGGGGGAAACCCUGAUCCAGCCAUCCCGCGUGUAUGAUGAAGGCCUUCGGGUUGUAAAGUACUUUUGGCAGAGAAGAAAAGGUACCCCCUAAUACGAGGUACUGCUGACGUUAUCUGCAGAACAAGCACCGACUAACUACGUGCCAUCAGCCGCGGUAAUACGAAGGGUGAAGCGUUAAUCGGAAUUACUGGGCGUAAAGCGUGUGUAGGCGGUGCGGAAAGAAAGAUGCGAAAUCGCAGGGCGCAACCUUGGAAAUGCAUUUUUAACUGCCGAGCGAGAGUAUGUCAGAGGGGGGUAGAAUUCCACGUGUAGCAGUGAAAUGCGUAGAUAUGUGGAGGAAUACCGAUGGCGAAGGUAGCCCCCUGGGAUAAUACUGACGCUCAGACACGAAAGCGUGGGGAGCAAACAG
rnacentral:rRNA from 1 species